rnacentral:tRNA from 1 species
GCGUCGGUGGUUCAGUGGUAGAAUACUCGACUGCCACGCGGGUGACCCGGGUUCGAUUCCCGGCUGACGCA